rnacentral:lncRNA from 1 species
AGGGAAUGCUUGGCCCCUCUGGCCAGCGGUGAAAUGCCAGGUACCCCCGAGGCCCUGGCCAAGUUCUCACUCUCUCUGCCUCUCUCAGGGCUGUGACCUUGAGACGGGUUGCAUCUGCCCAGCUCCAGCUGGUUCAGAUUUCAGGGCCAACAGGUGCUUCCUUCCCUUUACCUCAAACCGGUGUCGCAAACCACUCGGCCAAGUCACAGAGCAUCCAAACAUCAGCCACCCACAGAUACGUUCUCCUUGGUUUUGGAGUGCGCAUCUGGACUCUCUGGAUCCAAGGCACGUCGGGGCCCAGGGAAUUCACAGGAACCCGGAGUGUGGUGACCCCUGAAUGGAGGGUCCAUGCUGACAGCCGUCAUCAAUGAAAACUGAAAGACAUGGUGUGGUGACUCUCAGUCUGUAACACGAGAGGGUCAACAUUCCUACCCUCCCCUACAGCCCACUGGCCUAUAUAACUGCUUCGAGAUUCUGUGCCCCCCUGAAGAUGGUUCUUUUGGACGUGAGUCUGCCAUCUGCCCUCCUGCUAGCGAGCUGUAAUAAAAUGUCCUGUCUCUGCCACCAUCUUGCCUCUUGACAACUGGCUUUUGUCUCGUGGUGAGCAUACCGUGCCCUUUGUGCGGUGAUAGAAAUAUGGCGACUGUGAAGGGGCAAUAAAUCCUGCUUGUGGCCAGCCGACCUCGGAUGGGCAACCUGUCAGGUAAGACCCUCGCGGCUGCCGAGGCUCCAUUUGUCCUGGGAACCUGCCCUUCCUGCUCUCCUGUGCGGACGCCGGCUGCCUGCUAACGCUCCCUACGGUGGAAAGAGAACCGGCUACUUCUGGUGGGUCCACGGGCUCACAUCUGGAGUAGGGUAAGUCGAGAACACCACCGAGAACUUUCCUUCCCCCCAUCUGGGGUACCCUCUUUGAGAGGGGGAACCAUCUGGUUCCCUGCUGGAGUGGGAAGAGGAAUGGGACUUCAUCUGAAACCUAGGAACAGGUUCACUGGCGUCUGUGUAGCUCCAGGAUCAAGCGUCUUUGGGUGAGUGACCUCGUUGAAAUGCUCCUGCGCCUUAAAUUGUCUAGUAUCUCAUCAGGACAGUGGGUUAGAGGCCCCACUGUGAGAUGUGGCUGCUGGUUAAAGUCCCAAGGCCAGGAUUGUGGGAGAAAAUAUAAAGGGGUUGCAGCCACUGGGGCACUCAAAG